rnacentral:rRNA from 1 species
UUUCCUACGGGAGGCAGCAGUGAGGGAUAUUGGUCAAUGGGGGAAACCCUGGACCAGCAACGCCGCGUGAGGGAAGACGGUUUUCGGAUUGUAAACCUCUGUCCUCUGUGAAGAUAAUGACGGUAGCAGAGGAGGAAGCUCCGGCUAACUACGUGCCAGCAGCCGCGGUAAUACGUAGGGGGCAAGCGUUAUCCGGAUUUACUGGGUGUAAAGGGAGCGUAGACGGCGCGGCAAGUCUGAAGUGAAAG